ensembl:snRNA U2 U2 spliceosomal RNA
AUCUCUUCUCUGCCUUUUGGCUAAGAUCAAGUGUAAUAUCUGUUCUUACCAGUUUAAUAUCUGAUAUGUCCCCCACCCAGGGACCAUAUAUUAAAUAGAUUUUUGGGGCAGGGCGCUGGCACAGGGGCUUGUUCCUUCCACUCCACACAUCGACCUGGUAUUGCAGUACCUCCAGGUACAGAAAAAAAACC